rnacentral:lncRNA from 1 species
GUUUCCAUCCUUUAGGAAGACCCUGGAACGUGCCAGUUGAUUCUGACAAUUUCUCAUGAACAGAAACACCUAGGAAGGGAGAACUGGGCCCGCCUGGCAGGACGACUGAGCAAGUUCUUGGAAAACCAGAGAUAUUAGAGCGGUGAAUCGCGCUGGUCACGUUGGACACCUGCGCGUUAGGAGAUUCUGGAGCCAGAGGGAGAGACCCCAGAAACGCCCCGGUCGGCGACCCAGCCCGAGACGCCUGGGGUCCCAAGGGAAGCUGAACGCCCGCAGAAUGGGGAAAUGGAGAGAGAACCUGAAAGAGCCCCAAACUCGAGGACCUAUUGCUCCCCAAGAAUAACAUCUUCCAGAACUAGACAGAAAACUAGGCGUCUGGGAACCCUGAAAUCCUUGGAGGAGUAGAUCAUCAUGACCCUCUGUGUUCCUUUUGGCAAAUGACUUGCUUCCAUUGUUUGUUUGUUCAAUUGUCUGUUUGUUAAAUAAAUAAAACCCUUUUUAUG